rnacentral:rRNA from 1 species
AUUGAACGCUGGCGGCAGGCCUAACACAUGCAAGUCGAGCGGCAGCGGAAAGUAGCUUGCUACUUUGCCGGCGAGCGGCGGACGGGUGAGUAAUGUCUGGGAAACUGCCUGAUGGAGGGGGAUAACUACUGGAAACGGUAGCUAAUACCGCAUAACGUCGCAAGACCAAAGAGGGGGACCUUCGGGCCUCUUGCCAUCAGAUGUGCCCAGAUGGGAUUAGCUAGUAGGUGGGGUAACGGCUCACCUAGGCGACGAUCCCUAGCUGGGCUGAGAGGAUGACCAGCCACACUGGAACUGAGACACGGUCCAGACUCCUACGGGAGGCAGCAGUGGGGAAUAUUGCACAAUGGGCGCAAGCCUGAUGCAGCCAUGCCGCGUGUAUGAAGAAGGCCUUCGGGUUGUAAAGUACUUUCAGCGGGGAGGAAGGUGUUGUGGUUAAUAACCACAGCAAUUGACGUUACCCGCAGAAGAAGCACCGGCUAACUCCGUGCCAGCCGCCGCCGUAAUAC